GACGAACCGUGCGAACGUUGUUCGGAUUCACUGGGCUUAAAGGGCGCGUAGGCGGCUUGCUAAGUCAGGGGUGAAAUCUUUCGGCUCAACCGGAAAAGUGCUUCUGAUACUGGCGGGCUGGAGGAGGGUAGGGGCAGGUGGAACUUCCGGUGGAGCGGUGAAAUGCGUAGAUAUCGGAAGGAACGCCGGUGGCGAAAGCGACCUGCUGGACCCUCCCUGACGCUGAGGCGCGAAAGCCAGGGGAGCGAACGGG
rnacentral:rRNA from 1 species